AAAAUCUCUGGGUGACAUCACGGAGGGUUUGUCCACUAUACAUACGAUGGUACUUCAGAAAGUUCUUGCCUCACCCAGAAAUGUCACAGGAGAAAGACUGUUCUUGUAUUAUUU